rnacentral:rRNA from 1 species
GACAGAGGUGCCGAGCGUUAGGCGGAGUCACUGGGCUUAAAGCGUGUGUAGGCGGGCGGGCAAGUACCUUGUGAAAUCCCACGGCUCAACCGUGGAACUGCUGGGUAUACUGCCUGUCUUGAGCCAGCCAGGGGCAGUCGGAACAGACGGUGGAGCGGUGAAAUGCGUAGAUAUCGUCUGGAACGCCAAAGGUGAAAACAGACUGCUGGGGCUGUGCUGACGCUGAGACACGAAAGCCAGGGGAGCGAACGGG